GUGGGGAAUAUUGCGCAAUGGGCGAAAGCCUGACGCAGCGACGCCGCGUGAGGGAUGAAGGUUUUCGGAUCGUAAACCUCUGUCAGAAGGGAAGAAACUACAUUGUGCUAAUCAGCAGUGUACUGACGGUACCUUCAAAGGAAGCACCGGCUAACUCCGUGCCAGCAGCCGCGGUAAUACGGAGGGUGCAAGCGUUAAUCGGAAUUACUGGGCGUAAAGCGCACGUAGGCUGUAGUGUAAGUCAGGGGUGAAAUCCCACGGCUCAACCGUGGAACUGCCUUUGAUACUGCACAACUUGAAUCCGGGAGAGGGUGGCGGAAUUCCGGGUGUAGGAGUGAAAUCCGUAGAUAUCCGGAGGAACACCGGUGGCGAAGGCGGCCACCUGGACAGGUACUGACGCUGAGGCGCGAAAGCGUGGGGAGCAAACAGGAUUAGAAACCCUAGUAGUCC
rnacentral:rRNA from 1 species